UCUGAGAGGAAGGUCCCCCACAUUGGAACUGAGACACGGUCCAAACUCCUACGGGAGGCAGCAGUGAGGAAUAUUGGUCAAUGGACGAGAGUCUGAACCAGCCAAGUAGCGUGAAGGAUGACUGCCCUAUGGGUUGUAAACUUCUUUUAUAUGGGAAUAAAACGUUCCACGUGUGGAAUUUUGUAUGUACCAUAUGAAUAAGGAUCGGCUAACUCCGUGCCAGCAGCCGCGGUAAUACGGAGGAUCCGAGCGUUAUCCGGAUUUAUUGGGUUUAAAGGGAGCGUAGGUGGAUUGUUAAGUCAGUUGUGAAAGUUUGCGGCUCAACCGUAAAAUUGCAGUUGAAACUGGCAGUCUUGAGUACAGUAGAGGUGGGCGGAAUUCGUGGUGUAGCGGUGAAAUGCUUAGAUAUCACGAAGAACUCCGAUUGCGAAGGCAGCUCACUGGACUGCAACUGACACUGAGGCUCGAAAGUGUGGGUAUCAAACAGGAUUAGAUACCCUGGUAGUCCACACAGUAAACGAUGAAUACUCGCUGUUUGCGAUAUACAGCAAGCGGC
rnacentral:rRNA from 1 species